rnacentral:rRNA from 1 species
UACGUAGGGGGCUAGCGUUGUCCGGAAUCAUUGGGCGUAAAGCGCGUGUAGGCGGUCCGGUAAGUCCGCUGUGAAAGUCGGGGGCUCAACCUCGGAUGCCGGUGGAUACUGUCGGGCUUGAGUACGGAAGAGGCGAGUGGAAUUCCUGGUGUAGCGGUGAAAUGCGCAGAUAUCAGGAGGAACACCAAUUGCGAAAGGCAGCUCGCUGGACGGU